GGAGGUAUAGCUCAGUGGUAGAGCGUUCGACUGCAGAUCGAAGGGUCGAUAGUUCAACUCUGUCUGCCUCCU